ensembl:lncRNA
UUGCCGAGUAGUUUGUCAAACAAUCAUUUUGUGAGACGUUUAUGAAUAAAUGGAUUUCUUCAUGUAUAAACUGAUAAAGUUGUGGGUCAUUUUGUAGGACACAUGUGAAAAUGUGAAAGUACACUACAUAAACUCAAAAAAAAAAAAAAAAAUCAAAUCGUGUAAAACCCAGUAAACUUGAGAUUAUUACUUACAUACUGUUUAAAUAUGAUUAGAUAUGUAUGACACUAAAUUUAACAAUACUGAUUGAACAAUACUGAUUAUUGAUUAUAAUACUGAUAUAAACACUGAUUAAUGGUACACCAAAAAAAAAAAAGAAAAAAGUUUCCUUUUAGGACUACGUUUUGUCGAAAAAGCUGUUAGUUUUCAUUCUUUGUCACCAGUCACUGUUAAAAUUUCCAACUGCUACAUGUUAUUCAAGAAACAACUACCAUCUCAGCAAAGCAUGCAUGCAAUGGAUUAAAAAUGGAUAGAGAAAUAUCACCCCCCACCCCCCUCAAAAAAAAACAAACAAACAAAAAAACAAAAACAACAACAAAAAAAAAAACUAAAGUUUAAAGACACUUGGUAACUAUGGCUGGACAUAAAGGAGGAAGAUAUACAAGAGAAAGAAGGAGGAAGUCUCUUAUGCAUGUUACAGCUGCUUUAAAACUAAAGUAGAUAGAUACUGUAGGUUCUGUGCAUCCUCAUUAGUAAGCAUCCUUCAUCAGGACUGCAACAAGGUUGACCACUGCAAUUCUUUGGAGGACAGAUACCAGGAAGGUCCCAUCUGCAUCAAGCAAAGAUAGCAGAAUUGUUAGAACAUAACCUGGAAUGCGAGAGAUGGAUGCAAAGACACAUGAAGGGGCCAUUCACACCUCACAGUAGAACAUUACCACACAAAUAUCUAUAUGGCCUCCCGGAUUAGAACCUGGAACUAAAUUUUUGCAACACAGAUUGCUAUAGAUUAGACUCCAUCCAUUUCCCAGACAUGAGCACAGAACACACACCUCCACCAUUGCAUCAUCACCUCAUCUAG